ensembl:lncRNA novel transcript
AGAGUUGUCAGACGAUGUUACCAAAGCAAAGGCACUUGAACUUAGGCCAAGGCUAUUUAAGGUCACUCUACUUGCCUCUUCUGGAGAGACUCGUACAUGCGUUGCUGAUCCCUGGGCUGAGUUCUCCCAGCCCUAGUGAACUCGGAAGUACAGGUCCAGAAGGUUCUGCUUGAUGGUUCCCAUCAGGGUAAAACUGAAAAUAGGAAGCCGUUGGUUGCUGAUUUUUUGCAGGGUAAAUGAACUCAUCUGGGCAGUCCUCAUUUGGGGUCUCUCGUGCUGUUGUGGUCAUAUAGCUGCUGAGGCUGGAGCCAUGUGAAGUCUCAACAGGGCUGAGUAUCCGCAAUGGCUUCUUCAUCACAUCUGACAACACGCUUCUUCACAUGGUCUUUCUUCCAAGAAAAGGAGCCUGGACUUCUGACAUUGCAGCAGGAACUUCCUAUACUCACAAACGCAAGGCCUGGAACUGACACAAUGCAACAUUCACCAUAUUCUAUUGGUUGAAGUGGUCAGAGGUCAGCCUAGAUUCACAGUUGGUGAGGAAUAAAAUCCAUCUCCAGAUGGGGGUGUGGCAUGCAUAUAGAAGGAGGGAAGGAAUUAAUCACAGUCAUUUGAAAGAUGAGCUACAUUUAAUAAGCAGGUAACCAUUCUCAUCUCGCACAGAAAUUACCGUGCCUUUUACGAAAAUCUAUUUUUUAAACAUGAAUCCUCUGAUCACUUUUUAGGAUGGUUAUUGUCAAAAAGAAAGAAAGAAACAACAGAAAAUAACAACUGUUCACGAGGACGUGGAGUAAUUGGAACCUUUGUUGUGCAUGGUUGGUGGGAACGUUCAACAGACAGUCACUGUGGGAAACACUACAGUGGCUCUCAAAAAAAUUAAAAAUUGCCAUAUGAUUCAACAAUUCUACUACUGAGUAUAUGCCCAAAAGAAUUGAAUGCAGAGUUUCAAAGAGAUAUUUGUAUACCUGUGUUCAUAGCAGCAUUACUCAAUUAUGCAUAAUUGUUAAAACGUGAAAGCAACUCAAGUGUCCAUUGAUGGAUGAAUAAUAUGCAAAAUGUGGUAUAUAAAUAUGGAAUAUUAUUCAGCCCUAAAAAGGAAGAAGAAUCUAACAAGUGUUAUAACAUGGAUGAGCUGUGAAGAUAUUAUGCUAAGUGAAAUAAGCAAGGCACAAAAAGACUCAUACUGUAUGAUUUCACUUAUACGACUACUUAGAGUAGCCAAAUUCAUAGAGACAGAAAGUAGAAUGGUAAUUGCCAGGGGUUUGGUGGAUGAAUGGGGAGUUACUGUUUAGCAGGUAUAGAGUUUUACUUGGGGAAGAUGAAAAGAGUUAUGAAUAUGGAUCUUGGUGAUGGUUGUACUCACUAUGAAUGUAUUUAACAACUGAACUGGACACUUAAAAAUGGUUAAGAUGGUGAA